CUGUGGCAAGUGCUUUCAACAUGC
rnacentral:siRNA from 1 species